rfam:Aedes albopictus isolate Foshan contig80079, whole genome shotgun sequence.
UGUUCUGUGGCGGAGUUGGUUAACGCGCCCUGUCUAGCGAACUUGGGAGACUUGGGUUCAAACCUCACCAGAACUA